rnacentral:rRNA from 1 species
CAGGCUUAACACAUGCAAGUCGAGGGGCAGCAUGUCCAGCAAUGGAUGAUGGCGACCGGCGUAAGGGUGCGUAACGCGUGAGCAACAUGCCCUAUACAGGAGGAUACUCCGGGGAAACCCGGUCUAAUACUCCAUAGUAUUAUUGAGAGGCAUCUCUUAAUAAUUAAAGCUUCGGUGGUAUAGGAUUGGCUCGCGUGACAUUAGCCAGAUGGUGAGGUAACGGCUCACCAUAGCAACGAUGUCUAGGGGUUUUGAGAGGAAGGCCCCCCACACUGGGACUGAGACACGGCCCAGACUCCUACGGGAGGCAGCAGUGAGGAAUAUUGGACAAUGGAUGGAAAUCUGAUCCAGUCAUGCCGCGUGCAGGAAGACUGCCUUAUGGGUUGUAAACUGCUUUUAUACGGGAGCAAUAAGGGUUACGUGUAACCUGAUGAGAGUACUGUAUGAAUAAGGAUCGGCUAACUCCGUGCCAGCAGCCGCGGUAAUACGGAGGAUCCGAGCGUUAUCCGGAAUUAUUGGGUUUAAAGGGUGCGUAGGCGGCUAUUUAAGUCAGCGGUGAAAUUUUGCAGCUUAACUGUAACAGUGCCGUUGAAACUGUUUAGCUAGGAU